rnacentral:rRNA from 1 species
CACGCAGGCGGUUCCGUUAGUCGGACGUGAAAGCUCCUGGCUUAACUGGGAGAGGCCGUUCGAUACUGCGGGACUUGAGGUUGGAAGAGGGGUGUGGAACUCCCGGUGUAGUGGUGGAAUGCGUAGAUAUCGGGAGGAACACCUGUGGCGAAAGCGGCACCCUGGUCCACACCUGACGUUGAGGUGCGAAAGCCAGGGGAUCAAACG